UGGGGAAUAUUGGACAAUGGGCGCAAGCCUGAUCCAGCCAUGCCGCGUGAGUGAUGAAGGCCCUAGGGUUGUAAAGCUCUUUCGCAGGUGAAGAUAAUGACGGUAACCUGUAAAGAAGCCCCGGCUAACUUCGUGCCAGCAGCCGCGGUAAUACGAAGGGGGCUAGCGUUGUUCGGAAUAACUGGGCGUAAAGCGCACGUAGGCGGAUUGAAAAGUUAGGGGUGAAAUCCCAGGGCUUAACCCUGGAACUGCCUUUAAAACUAUCAAUCUAGAGAUCGAGAGAGGUGAGUGGAAUUCCGAGUGUAGAGGUGAAAUUCGUAGAUAUUCGGAGGAACACCAGUGGCGAAGGCGGCUCACUGGCUCGAUACUGACGCUGAGGUGCGAAAGCGUGGGGAGCAAACAGGAUUAGAUACCCCCGUAGUCC
rnacentral:rRNA from 1 species